GUGUCAGCAGCCGCGGUAAUACAGAGGGUGCAAGCGUUGUUCGGAAUUAUUGGGCGUAAAGCGCGUGUAGGCGGCUUUGCAAGUCUGGUGUGAAAUCCCUCGGCUUAACCGAGGAAGUGCGCCAGAAACUGCAGAGCUUGAGUACCGGAGAGGAUGGUGGAAUUCCCCAAGUAGAGGUGAAAUUCGUAGAUAUGGGGAGGAACACCGGUGGCGAAGGCGACCAUCUGGACGGAUACUGACGCUGAGACGCGAAAGCGUGGGGAGCAAACAGGAUUAGAAACCCCUGUAGUCC
rnacentral:rRNA from 1 species